GAAGGGUUGGAGCUCAGUAGUAGAGCAUCUGCUAAACAUGGAGAAGGCCUCAGGUUCAAUCCCUGCCAUCUUCA